rnacentral:snoRNA from 1 species
UUCAAUUGCAAUGAUGAGAAAUAUUAUUCAAAAUUAUACAGUUAUCCCUGUCUUAAUACAUAAUGUCGAGUUUUUUUAAAUCUGAAAUUUUA